rnacentral:rRNA from 1 species
ACUCCUACGGGAGGCAGCAGUGGGGAAUAUUGGACAAUGGGCGGAAGCCUGAUCCAGCAACGCCGCGUGAGGGAUGACGGCCUUCGGGUUGUAAACCUCUUUCAGUAUCGACGAAGGCCCGGUUGAUGGGUUUGACGGUAGGUACAGAAGAAGCACCGGCCAACUACGUGCCAGCAGCCGCGGUAAUACGUAGGGUGCGAGCGUUGUCCGGAAUUAUUGGGCGUAAAGGGCUCGUAGGCGGUUUGUCGCGUCGGGAGUGAAAGCCAUCCCCUUAAUGGGUGGUUGGCUUCUGAUACGGGCAGGCUAGAGGUAUGCAGGGGAGAACGGAAUUCCUGGUGUAGCGGUGAAAUGCGCAGAUAUCAGGGGGAACACCGGUGGCGAAGGCGGUUCUCUGGGCAUUACCUGACGCUGAGGAGCGAAAGUGUGGGGAGCGAACAGGAUUAGAUACCCUGGUAGGCUCUGCU